AGCGAACGCUGGCGGCAGGCCUAACACAUGCAAGUCGAACGGAUCCUUCGGGAUUAGUGGCGGAUGGGUGAGUAACACGUGGGAACGUGCCCUUUGGUUCGGAACAACUCAGUGUAACUUGAGCUAAUACCGGAUGUGUCCUUCGGGGGAAAGAUUUAUCGCCAUUGGAGGGGCCCGCGUCUGAUUAGCUAGUUGGUGAGGUAACGGCCCACCAAGGCGACGCUCAGUAGCUGGUCUGAGAGGAUGAUCAGCCACACUGGGACUGAGACACGGCCCAGACUCCUACGGGAGGCAGCAGUGGGGAAUCUUGCGCAAUGGGCGAAAGCCUGACGCAUCCAUGCCGCGUGAAUGAUGAAGGUCUUAGGAUUGUAAAAUUCUUUCAGCGGGGACGAUAAUGACGGUACCCGCAGAAGAAGCUCCGGCUAACUUCGUG
rnacentral:rRNA from 1 species